AUUGAACGCUGGCGGCAGGCCUAACACAUGCAAGUCGAGCGGAUGAAGGGAGCUUGCUCCUGGAUUCAGCGGCGGACGGGUGAGUAAUGCCUAGGAAUCUGCCUGGUCGUGGGGGAUAACGUCCGGAAACGGGCGCUAAUACCGCAUACGUCCUGAGGGAGAAAGUGGGGGAUCUUCGGACCUCACGCUAUCAGAUGAGCCUAGGUCGGAUUAGCUAGUUGGUGGGGUAAAGGCCUACCAAGGCGACGAUCCGUAACUGGUCUGAGAGGAUGAUCAGUCACACUGGAACUGAGACACGGUCCAGACUCCUACGGGGGGCAGCAGUGGGGAAUAUUGGACGAUGGGCGAAAGCCUGAUCCAGCCAUGCCGCGUGUGUGAAGAAGGUCUUCGGAUUGUAAAGCACUUUAAGUUGGGAGGAAGGGCAGUAAGUUAAUACCUUGCUGUUUUGACGUUACCAACAGAAUAAGCACCGGCUAACUUCGUG
rnacentral:rRNA from 1 species